CUUCAGGGCUGCUGGGUUCAGGUGCCCACUACACCGAAGAUCUGCUUGUCCCUUCCUCCAAACUCUGAGAACCAGAACUAGCUUCCAGAGCUAUGCAGGGCUGAAUGGGAGAAGAAUGCAACUUCCUAAGCAUGGAAUUUUCCAAGUUAGAUUGCUUUCCAGCCGUGCUCUUUCCUCCGAGUCAGAGAGUACAAAGGACAAAUCAGCAUGCCAGCUCAGAGCUUACAGCCCUGGAGGAUGGACAGGGCUGUGGGACAGAUGUGCGGUACAGAUGCAUGAUACCGUUCAAGGAGUGCUGCUAAACCUGUGUGGACACAGCCUGAAUUGCCCGGCAAGAUGAUCACACUCCAUAUAGAAAAUGAGCCUUACCCGGAGAGCAACUUUCUAGGGUUUUCUUCCUCCACGGUUUGAGUGAUGCUUGAAAAAUAAUUUUCCUUGCCGCUGAUAACAGCGAGGUAAUUCCUCGUUUCUGUAUCUCAUCCAUGCUGGCCUUCAAUACCUAAAGAAUUGUGCUUGACUCUCACCACCCACACACCAACGCAGUUCCGGAGAAGCAGAAAACAUGGAUGCAGGAGAUGGAAAAGGGUUUGUGUCACUGGAGUCUGUACUGGCCUGUCCUUGGGGUUCCGACAGGAUACACCCUCAGCUGCAGCCACUAAGAGCACCACCUGUGCACAUUCACUGU